UGAAUAUUUCUCUUAAAUGUGCCACAAAUGUCUUUUAACAAUGUUUUGUAGUAACCGAGAGAAGUGUCAUCACAGAAGUUCCUCAGACAGCUGUGAACACUGAGCAGUGCUUGGGGUCAGACAGUAGACUUCAUCUUUAUUAUACUUCUCUGACUGGACUAGCAAGGAGCAGUUAGAGUCCAUGAGAAAAAGUCAAAAGAAGGUACUUUGAAGAAUUCUGGUAAUCAAAACCAACAGGUGCAGAAAUGAAAGCUCCCAA